AGCUUUCUCAUUUAGGAAGGAAAACUUGUUUGUUAUAUGAGGGAUUUCAGAGGAGAGUUUGUUUUUGUUCAAACCUUCAGAUCAUUUUGUGUUUUUUUGUUUUAUUUUUUUUUGUUUGAAUUGACAUAAUGCUUCUCUGGCAGAGGAAUAUAUUCAGGUAAAUUUUUCCUUUUAUUUGAGUGGGUCAUUGAUUGAAAUCAAAUUGUCAAACACCAGUAUUUAGAAGGGAAAAUUAGGAAAAAGGUAUUACAUUUACAUAAUGUGUAUUUAAUAUGAAUGAGAAAAAAUAUUUCUUGAUAAUUAUCAGCUCUUGAUCACCAUUUUGAAAAAAAAAAUGUUGUUCUAGAAAGAUGAUUGAAGCUUCUUUACAAAAGUCAGGAUGUGAAAUAAAGAUGCAAGUUUCAUUACAGAUUUUCUUGUACAAACUUGUAAUAGGAUUUUCAAACUGUCUGCACCUGCUCUCAAAUAAUCCUCACUUAAUGCGCCAGGGUCUUCAGAAGUAUAGAUACUAGAAUCAUUGUUUUUAGACUUUAACAAAAAAUAUGCUAUAAAAGAAAACAAAACUUUGAGCAACUCUGACUUAUCAGCAUUUAAUAAAAAUAUUUUUGGUCUAUAUUAAGCUCAGCCGCCCCAUGCAAAUUCAACUGUGGAUAUAUGUGACCUCGUGUGAUGCUGCUAAAAAUGCCAAUUUUAAUCGAUCAUUAAAUUGUCACUUUCGCAAAAAAUUGGAUUUUUUUCUUUAUUAGAAAAAUUACUAGUAUUGAUAUGAAUGGAUUAAAAAGAAUUUUACCUACCGUACAUCUACCUCUUUACAAAGAUACAGGAAAAAAAUCUAAAUAUUUGAAUAUUAAAUCAAACAUAUUGGAAAGAACUAUAUGUGAUAUUAGUCAAAUUUUGCCCCCAUAACUCGCUAUUUUUAAAAUGAUUCAGGUACAUUAAUUUGUUGUGUUAUUUUAUAAAAGAGUUGACAUAAAAUGUUUUUUUCACCUAUUUAUUUGAUUUAUAUGCGCUCACUGGCAGUAUAUGACAUCAGAAGUGACGCUAUUUUUUUAAUUCAAUCAAAAUCAGUCAAAAAUUGACAUUUUUCUUAUCUUUUUUCGAAUGGGAAAUAUAGAGCAACUCUUUGAACAAGAACAAACUUUUUGUCACUUAUAAGUACCAGUAUUGGAGAGAUAAAUCUUUGGUAAAAAUAUUUUGUUUGUUCAAGCAGUCGCUCAAUGUUUCCUUAAAGAAAAACUGCUUCAAAACAAGCCGUUUUAUGCUAAAAAUGAGAAAAUUGCGGGAAAAGGUAAACUUUAUGAUAUCAUAUUUUUAAAUUGUGGGCACUA
rnacentral:misc_RNA from 1 species